AACCCAGCACCAGUACAAAGCAUUAGUCAGGAAAGGCAACUCAGUGAUCCCUUCAGCUCCAAUGAUGAACUUUGUGCGUGCCCAGAUCAAGAAAGCAGCUGAUGAGACCGAGACUAUUCUGGAAACAACCCCGGCUGGCAAAAGCGAUGGGGAAGGUGCACUUCGAGCAUUCAUUAAGCGCCAGGGCCAAAAGUUAAGGCGGCUAUCAAACCUUUUCGGUUGU